GGGAAUCUAGCUUAUGGAGGGGGAUAACUACCGGGAAACUGUAGCUAAUACCGCGUAAUAUCGAAAGAUUAAAGUGUGGGACCUUCGGGCCACAUGCCAUAGGAUGAGCCCAAGUGGGAUUAGGUAGUUGGUGAGGUAAAGGCUCACCAAGCCGACGAUCUCUAGCUGGUCUGAGAGGAUGACCAGCCACACUGGGACUGAGACACGGCCCAGACUCCUACGGGAGGCAGCAGUGGGGAAUAUUGCGCAAUGGGGGCAACCCUGACGCAGCCAUGCCGCGUGAAUGAAGAAGGCCUUCGGGUUGUAAAGUUCUUUCGGUAGUGAGGAAGGCAUUUAGUUUAAUAGACUAGGUGA
rnacentral:rRNA from 1 species